GGUGGCUUUUUGUUGUUGUUACAUUUUUUUUUUUCCUGCUUCUUCCCCAAACAGCUUUUGGGUUUUUCCUUAACCACUCCAGACUCACUCUUCUACACAGGCUAUGUUUACUCGGUGUUGGCAAGCUGAGAACAGCUGCUGGUUUCCAAGGGAUGGAACACGAGCCCACAUGUUUAACAUGGCUGCAGUCUCGAAGAGAAGCACAGAGGUGAAUCUUUUCUAUGGGUCUCAGCCUAGUGAACGGAGGAAGUGUACCUACCCGCUCUGCACUAUGAACUACACUCCGAGCAGAAGAGUGUGAACCUCACACAAUAGAUGGACUUGACUCAGAGUUUGGACAUUUAGCAACUCAAACAUGUUGCUCACAGCUCAUGUUCCCAGUAUCAGGAAUUCCUCUUGGAUCUUCUCUGCAGGAGCAAAUGAUGGUUUCCACAUUACAUGGAUCACACCAUUAUUCAGCUGGCAACCAAAACAAGUUUAGAACAUACACACACUUCAACAGGCUUGUGAGUCAGAAGGUGGGUGAUUAAUACUGGGCGGAACAAUGACUUUUCCCUAGUCCAACUUUGUCACUGGUAGGCACUUGAAAUGAAGAGGAAAUUGCCCCUACUGA